rnacentral:rRNA from 1 species
ACGCUCGACACCUACAGGCAGCAGUGGGGAAUAUUGCACAAUGGGGGAAACCCUGAUGCAGCGACGCCGCGUGAGCGAAGAAGUAUCUCGGUAUGUAAAGCUCUAUCAGCAGGGAAGAAGAUGACGGUACCUGACUAAGAAGCACCGGCUAAAUACGUGCCAGCAGCCGCGGUAAUCUGAGCGGGCUGGCAAGGC